GGAAAAUCUUCUUACAGCUCUCUGCAAGCAGGCCGUGAGGAAGGAGGCAGGGAGCGGUGGUGCAACCAGAUGCACCUGUAGAUCAGAGAUGACUGAGCUCUCUUGUGUCACCAUCCCACAGCCAGCUUCCUAAACCCGGUGGGUGGGACUUCUGAUACGUGUUGCAAGAUAUCUGGAACCAUGUGGUACAACCCAACCAUAACAGCACCAGGCAGCCAGAGAGCAUCAUUCUCUGGUCACACAGAAAGUGUGUGUCUCUGAACAUCCCCCGGACCCUUUCUGCACUGGGCAUAAUGAUGCCAGGAAAGGAAGUGCUGUCACAGGUUACCCUGCCCUGCAGCUGCUCAGACCCACACGUAAACACGGAACCACCAAACUCCUCUCUUAGGUACCUUUCAUCUCCUGGGAGCAGAGACCGAAACCAAAAUCUGCUUUGCUGUGUUCAGAGCUCAGCUGGCCACCUCUCCACAACCAAAAAUCCUGCUGCCUUCAUGCCAUGGCUUUGGGGCUGUCCGCUGGAGUGCUGUGCUCCCAUCCCAGUGUCUGGGGCCAAUUUUUGUGUUCUCAGACUCUGAUGGGGGCAGAGUCCUUGUCUCAAACCUUGUAGUAGGGGAACUAGCUGUUUGCUCAGCUUUUCCAGGAAAAAAGUGAUGGCUGGGAGGCCCAAUUCCUACUUAAGAUGCUGCUACGAUGCUUCUUAAAACUGGCUACUGGGAGCUAGCAAUGAGAUAAACUGUGUUCGGUUCCUGACCAAGUCUAUGCUUGUCUGCGACGCAGUUAGAGAGGAGUAACACACAUUGCACAUAGAACGGUUCACAUUUCUUGUGGAAAUGAGUGCUGGAGCUGGGCAAAGCUCAGGAACUGUCCCCAGCCUGGUGGUAACUGUAAGGUAUGGCAGCCCUUUGAAACUGCUUUUGCACGCAGGGCUGGAAGGGGCCUCCUAUCUCAUGUCCACUUACCUUCUAUUUUUUACAACUUGUUGUCUGUUAGUUUUCAUAAACAAGACAUGCCCUGUCUUCAAGAGGAGGGGCUUGUCCUCACAGUAUUCUGGCUGAAAUCCUCUCCAAAACCUGCAGGCUUUGUGACCAAGAAAUCAUCUUCUCCUUUCCAACCUGCCUUCCAUUUUGUCUGGUCCGUACUCAUUUAAUUUGCGUCAAAAACUGUUCUUUUCCUUAAAAAGUUCCCUUUCUCCUCCAGCAAGAGAAAACUCAGAACCCAGUGAGAAGGCUAAUCAGUGGUUACCUUUCAAGAUCCCCAUGCAGUUUGCCCCAAACUGUAGCAAUUCACAUAUCUGAUGGUUAGAGCACUGGAUUUUAUAGCCCCAUAGGAUUAGCAAAAAGAUGUAACAAGAGAGAUUUCAGAAACUGCUAGGGUGUUUGGGGAGGCUGAGACUUACUGGUUCACCCCAGGGCACAUCAGAAAGACUGUCCUGCUGCCCGAGCAUCCCUGUUUGUCCCACCUGAGGGUAAAUGUUUAAGAGGAUUUGCAGUGGCCAGUGACAGUUUCUAAGUCACUCAUCUGCCAGCAGCACUCAGCCAAAGUUCAGAGAGGGUGAGAGGAAAGCAAACCUUUGUG
ensembl:lncRNA